UACGGGGGGAGCAAGCGUUGUUCGGAUUUACUGGGCGUAAAGGGCGCGUAGGCGGCCAGCACAAGUCAAUUGUGAAAUCUCCGGGCUUAACUCGGAAAGGUCAACUGAUACUGUGCGGCUAGAGUGCGGAAGGGGCAACUGGAAUUCUUGGUGUAGCGGUGAAAUGCGUAGAUAUCAAGAGGAACACCUGCGGCGAAGGCGGGUUGCUGGGCCGACACUGACGCUGAUGCGCGAAGGCUAGGGGAGCGAACGGG
rnacentral:rRNA from 1 species